AUUCUCCUCUGGCCCUUUCCUCUGUUCUUCAGCCCCAACAGCUUCUCAAGAGGCAGGGUCUUGCUAUGUUGCCCAGGCUGGUCUGGAACUCUGAGCUCAAACAAUCCUCCUACCUCAGCCUCUCAAAGUGCUGGGAUUACAGGAUUUAGAAAGAAUGAAAAACUAUGCUGCUGAUGCUGUCAGCUUCCCAGAAUCCUCUCCCAAGUUAAUUCAAUUAGGCAGGCUCGCUCUCUGUCACCCAGGCUGGAAUGCAGUGGUGCAAGAUCAUAGCUCAUUGCAGUCUCGAACUCCUGGACUCAGGCAAUCCUCCUGCCUCAGCCUCCUGUGUGCAAUGAGUCUUAAAUCAUCCGCCCAGAAGAGACAUGUAACACUUCCGCUCACAUUGCAUUGGCUAAAGAGGACAAACUUGGAAACUACAUUUCCCUGAUCUUGCCAACAGUAUUCAGCCCGGACUCCACCAAUGAGAGGCACUUGCGUGAGAUUUGGUAGGGAAGAGAAGGAGAAGCCAUUGUUUUCUCAAAGCAGCAGCAGAUGGCCGACAUGGAAUUUUGCCUAAAACUUUCGGGUGUUCUCCUGAAAAUACUCCAACUGGCUCUACAGGCAGCUGAGAGCAAUGGCAGUGGCUUCCUUGUGAUUCCUGCACUACCAGAUUUCCUGAAAGAGGUGUCCCGAUCACUAUCACUCUUGCAGCUUUCCUAGAGUUGUUUAAGCCUCUAAUUCCCUGUGUAAGCCUCCUUCUAUCUGAGAUACCUAGAGGGGUAUCUGUUUUUCUGACUGUACCAUAGCAGAUAAAAGGACCCAGUCUGCAAGCUUCCAUUGGAAAUUCUAGCAGAGUGAAACUUGAGGUAGAGGUCCCCUAAGUACCUUAGAGCAGUUGCAAUGGUACCUUCGGAAUUGAUGGUUCUUGACUUUAGGGAUUGUGAGCUUUUUCCAAGUAGUCACCCAAACCUGUGCUUGUUGGAUCUAAGAAAAUAGAGUUCAUGUAUGAAAUGAAAACAAUUAACAUUGAAUCUAUAAAGCUGUACAAUCUACUGAGACAAAAGAAAUGGGAUAGAAAAAGUUUAAUGUUUUACUACACACAUGUAACUGCAUAAAAUGUAUCUGAAGAGCACACAAGAAACAGACAACAGAG
rnacentral:lncRNA from 1 species